CUGGCUUCCCAGUGAAGCGGGAAGAGGAACAAAAGGGAGCCCUUACGGAGGCUCUUCCGUCCCUCAUCCUGCUUUGCUGGGAAGCCAG